CUGGGACUUCUUCCAAGACAUGAAGUCAGGCCAGCAAACCCGCUGAAUUUAAGCAUAUCAAUAAGCGGAGGA
rnacentral:rRNA from 1 species